AUUGUCUAAAUACAAUACAGAACAGAUUUGACAUGGCAUUUAAAAACUGUUCAUAACUUGUCAUCUCUGAACACUUUUUGUUGAUCUUAGGUACCUUAAACCAGUUGUGGAGAAGGAGCCUGUCAAGAAGAAUCCUCUCUUCAGGAUCGGGAUGCAGACAGACAUUGAUCAAAUGGCUGCAUUCUGUGCAGACUAUUACCUUUAACUUCCUUUACACCUGCUCACUUUUUUUUUUUUAAUCAUAUUAUUCUAAGCUGCACAGUUUGGAAAAAUUCAAAUUCAAAGCACUGGCUUUGCACAGAAACAGUUAUAACAGAAACGGUUAUAUACAUAAGGUGAAGUGUGUAAGAUUUUUUUUAUAUAUAGCUCAAUGUAUAGCGAGAGUUUGGGCCGUGACUACUGUAGCAGGCGGAGCCAUGGGAAAAGAAAUUCAGCUUUAGUUACAGCGGUGAACGCCAAAAUUCGUCGCAUUUACUGUAUACCUUCAAAGAUUAAACGGGUCAUGAACACGUCAAAGUGAACAGAACAUUGUGAUGCUACGCACUACAAAGCAUGCUUUAAUACCAUAUAGCAUCAUCGUGCACCUGUUCAGAAGGACAAAUUUUCAUAAAGACAAAUGCAACACAGCCAAAAGUAUUGGACCUGAAACAUGCCUUCACAAGAACCAGUAAGAGCUGUGUUUGCGCGAAAGGGGCAUUUGCAAGGUUUUUUGAAAACGUGCUUUAUUUUGUAAUUCCGCUCGGUGCCACUAGUGUCACAAAAACUACAUACUUCACUUUUAAAGGAAAGAUAAGGAAAAUUUUAUAUUAAUCAUGUUUUAGGUGCUGUUUUCAUAGAUGCCAAGUCACAUGGUCAUGACUAACCAGCUCUCUCCUUAUUAAAAUUUGUACAGAAUGCAGUGAUCUGAUUAGCCAGUGCCUAACCUGGGAUCCAACAUCAAUGGAUUAGAAAUGAUCUGGAUUGGAGAAGUUCAGGAGAUUCACUCGAUCAGUGAUUUCAGGAAAUAACAUACUUGCUGUCCUUGGUGGAGGGCUUGAGCUCGAGACUUGACCCGAAGCCUGAAGUCUAACUCCAACCUGACAGGGAACUCAAGCCGCCACACCAGAGACCUCAGAGCCUGUCCAUGCCUGAGCAAGAACAUGAGAGACUUCAAGACUGGAAAGAAGCCAUCAAGUCAUCACAGCCACAUUUGCUUUCUUUUUAAAAGUAAUUUUUGCUUUGUUUUUAAAAGUCAAGACAAGUCAUCUUUGUUUAUAUAGCGUUUUAAUGUUGGGGAGUAAAGUUACAUGUAACGGCAUUACGUGAUUUAAUUACAAAAUAAAUGUAACUGUAAUCCGUUGAGAAAAAAAUGUGUAAUUGAAUUAGUUACUUAUGAAAAUGCUAACGAUUAAAAAGGGAGUUGCAUCUGAAUAUUUUCUGUAAAAAGCUAGGAUAUGUUGAAUAAUAUUAAUUUGUUGCUUUGCCUGUUUUUUAUGUGCACAAUGCCUUCUCCUGCCAUUUAAAGACCGUUUAGUAAAGUGAUGCUAUUCUGAU